ACGGAGGGUGCGAGUGUUAUUCGGAAUCAUUGGGUGUAAAGAGCACGCAGGCGGAUCGGUAAGUCAGAUGUGAAAUAUCGGAGCUCAACUGCGGAACUGCAUUUGAUACUGUUAGUCUUGAGUGAGGAAGAGGGGGGUGGAAUUUCCGGUGUAGAGGUGAAAUGCUUAGAUAUCGGGCGGAACACCAAAGGCGAAGGCGGCCCCCGGGAUUAUUACUGACGCUGAUGUGCGAAAGCGUGGGGAGCAAACAG
rnacentral:rRNA from 1 species